GAGUUUGAUCUUGGCUCAGGAUGAACGCUAGCGGCAGGCUUAACACAUGCAAGUCGAGGGGCAGCAGGUCUUCGGACGCUGGCGACCGGCAAACGGGUGCGGAACACGUACGCAACUUACCCUUAUCUGGGGGAUAGCCCGGUGAAAACCGGAUUAACACCCCAUAGUAUUCCUGGAGGGCAUCUUUUAGGAAUUAAAAAUUUAUUGGAUAGGGAUGGGCGUGCGUAAGAUUAGGUAGUUGGUGAGGUAACGGCUCACCAAGCCGACGAUCUUUAGCUGAUGUGAGAGCAUGAUCAGCCACACGGGCACUGAGACACGGGCCCGACUCCUACGGGAGGCAGCAGUGAGGAAUAUUGGUCAAUGGGCGGAAGCCUGAACCAGCCAUGCCGCGUGAAGGACGAAGGCGUUCUGCGUUGUAAACUUCUUUUAUCUGGGAAGAACCUACGAUUUCUAUUGUAGCCGACGGUACCAGAUGAAUAAGCACCGGCUAACUCCGU
rnacentral:rRNA from 1 species